rnacentral:lncRNA from 1 species
AAAGGUUCUGAAGAACAUGGGGCAGGACAGGAAUAAAGAUGCAGACAUAGAGAAUGGACUUGAGGACCCAGGGAGUGGGAAGGGUAAGCUGGGACAAAGUAUGAGAGAGUGGCAUGGACAUAUAUACACUACCAAGGGUAAAACAGAUAGCUAGUGGGAAGCAGCCACAUAGCACAGGGAGAUCAGCUCCGUGCUGUGUGUCCACCUAGAGGCGUUGGGUAGGGAGACAAGAGGGAGGAGAUAUGGGGAUGUAUGUAUAGCUAUAGCUGAUUCACUUUUUUUUUUUUCCAAGAUGCAGAGAAGAUUUAUUUCGUACAAGAGCAUAAAAGACAUAAAUAGAAGACUAUGUGUGUGUGUGCGUGUGUGUGUGUUUUCUGGAAGUGGGGGUCAUGGAUGUCAGGCCUGGAAAUAUGUGAGGUAGGAAGUGACAUGACAAGCCAGGCCCGUGAGAUCAGGUGGGCAAGCCUAGCACCUGAGGUUUGAGCCAAAGAAGGUGGCCUAGUGAUCAAGGGACACCGUGGUGAGCCUGACCCCAGGGCAGUGGUCCUGGUUGUGAUUCACCUUGUUACACAGCAGAAACUAACACACCAUUGUAAAGCAAUUAUACUCCAAUAAAGAUGUUAAAAAAAAAAAAAAAAGAAUGUAAGGGUUGAACCAGUGCCCUGGCAGGUCCCAUCCAACUCAACACUAAAAAAAAAAGAAAAACAAAGUUACAAGAGAUUCAGAAUGCUGAGUUGUGAAAGCCGAAGGCUAACCAAAGAGCCCCAGGACUUACUGGAAUCCUGCUUUUAAAUUUUGCUUCAAACACCUUCCCCUGAAUCUGCACUACAGGUAUCACUGAUUUUCUGUGAGGACAAGAAGCAACUAAGAAAUUAAGUCAAUUGAAGGUUGUGAGUAUUAUUACCUGAGGGUGCGGGGAGAUUCAAAAUAAAGAAAUAAAUAAGAUACACUGGAAACAGAAUCCAGAAGAAAGGCGGUCUCUCUUGCACGAGAAGUCUGCAUUUGGAAAACACAGGAGGUAGGGAUCAAAGCCGCUCCCUCUCCAGCCACCUGCCCAGAAACUGCCCGAGCGCCGGCCCAGCACCGUCGGGGCAAGUGGGCACGUGUCUCUCCUCUAAACCAACGGGCGCUCCGAGGGACCGGGUUACGGUGGCGGGCUCCCCGCGCGCGUCUCACCAGGCGCUGGGGCGGCGGGGAGCCAAGGGAGAGCCCUCCGCCACCUCCGCCCAGCCCAGCCCUAGAGCCCGCCGCCGCGCCGCGAAGGAUGCCCGGGUCACCUGAGCCACCGCGUCCUCAGCACGGCCGAGCGGGAGAUAGGACAGAAGAGUUAUACUGCUGA